CCCCAAAAUGUCCAAACGCCGUCGUUCCCAGCCCAACCACAAGGUAGUACAGUACAGACAUACAUAUUCCCAGUGUAUUCACUCCAUUCAUAUAUCCCAAAAGCAAAACAGAAAAAGAGAAUGGCUGAAAUUAGAUGAUCCCUAUUCUUUAGGUCCACAGAGCCCAAGCCAGAGCCACUGAGAAGCAAUUUUGGCUUCUUUUGUGGUUUUGAAUUUUGGUUUUUCAAAUUUUGGGGCUAGGUUUGUGGGGGAGACGGCAAUGGCGGAGCAGAGGAACAACAAUAGGUGGAACUGGGAGGUCAGUGGCUUUGAACCGAGGAAGUUGUCUUCUUCGUCGUCGACGGCGUCGAGCUUGGACCAUGACGAUUACAAGCCUGGUGCGCCUUUAGUUCGGAGGUACUCGAUCUCUGCUGCCUCGGCUUUGGCUCAGUCUGAGCUCUCCAACCACUCUGUGAGUUCUAAGCUCCAGAAACUCAAGGACCAAGUUAAGGAGGUCUGCUACAACAUUUCUUUUUGGACAGCUUGCUAGAGAAGAUUACUUGGAGUUGAGACAAGAAGCAAGUGAGUUGCACGAGUAUUCUAAUGCCAAACUUGAAAGAGUUACACGUUAUCUUGGUGUUCUUGCCAAUAAAACCCAAAAGCUAUAUUGUAAUUAAGAGAUUUGGUUAUGCUGUUUGAUUUUGCGUUUGUCGGUUUAAAGGAUUUCUGAAGUGGUAUGGGACUUCUGUCUAAAUUCAAGAUGAGUGAUAUUUUUUGACAUGGGUACAAGAUCAAUUUGCCCUUGAAACUGAGGCUAGAAUUUCUCCGCUGAUCAAUGAGAAGAGAAGGUUGUUCAAUGACUUAUAGACAGCCAAAGGAAACAUAAAGAUAUAUUGUCGUGCAAGACCAUUAUUUGAGGAUGAAGGUUCCUCAGUUGUUGAAUAUCCUGAUGACUACAACAUCCGUGUAAAUACUGGACAAACCAACUCAGGAUAGACACACACAAUGGUUGCUCUCUUUUCCUCCCUCUGCAUUUGUUUGUGUGUGUCUUUGCCGGAAUGUGUAUCUGAUGCAUAUAAAUUUGUACUUGUAUGCUGACUUCUAUUCCUCUAGCCAGUUCAGGGUGUUGUAACUUGAUAUUUUCUUUUACAAAUUUUACGUUGAUGUAUUAGGGACUUUAAAAAAGAAAUGAGAAGUGAUUCUUCAUUAUUAGAUUUGAACCGUGGACUUUAAAGCGUUGAUGUAUUAGGGACUUUAAAGCGUGGUGGGCUUUUCAUUGUUUGUCACAUUCCUUUUUGUAAUUUGGAUAA